UCCCUGGUAGUAUAUCGGUUAGUACACGCGCCUGUCAUGAAGGAUUUUCAGCCAUGCAUUCGCGCGAAAGCUGGGUUCGACUCCCAGCCAGGGAG